UAUUGCACAAUGGGCGGAAGCCUGAUGCAGCGACGCCGCGUGAGGGAUGACGGCCUUCGGGUUGUAAACCUCUUUCACCUGUGACGAAGCGAAAGUGACGGUAGCAGGAGAAGAAGCACCGGCCAACUACGUGCCAGCAGCCGCGGUAAUACGUAGGGUGCAAGCGUUGUCCGGAAUUACUGGGCGUAAAGAGCUCGUAGGCGGUUUGUCGCGUCGUCUGUGAAAACUCACAGCUCAACUGUGAGCUUGCAGGCGAUACGGGCAGACUUGAGUAUUGCAGGGGAGACUGGAAUUCCUGGUGUAGCGGUGAAAUGCGCAGAUAUCAGGAGGAACACCGGUGGCGAAGGCGGGUCUCUGGGCAAAUACUGACGCUGAGGAGCGAAAGCAUGGGU
rnacentral:rRNA from 1 species